AUCCAACUGACGAAUGCCGAACAGGACGAAAUGCGCGUCCUGGAU
rfam:Schistosoma rodhaini strain Burundi genome assembly, scaffold: SROB_scaffold0000059